rfam:Zea mays cultivar B73 chromosome 1, whole genome shotgun sequence.
UGAAAGCUAUGAUGAAUCGUGGAAAUUAAAUUCGCAUGUCAGACUUCAGAGAUGCUUUGGCAUUAAUGAGAAGAUGUUUCAUGUUCUGAGCAGUGA